rnacentral:snoRNA from 1 species
AAGCCAUGAUGAGGACACUCUAAGACAAGGUAUUGGAAACGUUCCAUACAUCUAGAGAAUGAUUCAUUGCAUCUUUGGUGAAACUGAAAAAUGUCAUUCCUAAGCUU